UACGUAGGGUGCAAGCGUUUAAUCGGAAUUACUGGGCGUAAAGCGUGCGCAGGCGGUUUUGUAAGUCUGUCGUGAAAUCCCCGAGCUCAACUCGGGAACUGCGUCCGAUACUGGCGGGCUUGAAUCCGGGAGAGGGAUGCGGAAUUCCAGGUGUAGCGGUGAAAUGCGUAGAUAUCUGGAGGAAUACCGGUGGCGAAGGAGGCAUCCGUGGACCCGGCAUUGACGCUGAGGCGCGAAAGCUAGGGGAGCAAACGGG
rnacentral:rRNA from 1 species